rnacentral:lncRNA from 1 species
GGUUCCGUUGGGUGGGUUUACUUGGCCCACAUUUUCAUGAGACUGCAGGAGACCCGAUUCAUCGAUGCAAUUCGAGGAUGUCAUAGUUGGAUUUACAGGAAAAUUGGUACCAGCAGUGCUCAUAUAAUUGGAAGAAAAAGGUAGAGUUGUAGAAACACUAUCAUUGCAAACUCCCCUAAGGGUUGACAUCCCAUUUUGCAUUAGAAGGGAUGAAGAAUCUAUAUUCACACCAAAUAAAACAUGGUUUUGAGGAUCAGAACUCUCUUCUCUGUCAUCAAUAGGACAUUCCCUUCCAGGGAAGGGUGGCAAUGCAACAGUAUUCUGAGAAAUACUACUCUGUUGUGUUCCUAACAUUUCAACUUGAGGUAGAAAAUAUUGAGAAGCUCCAGUACAGAGAGGAUCGAUAGCAGCUCUCUUUGAUGGCCAACCAGCUGAAGGAAUUACUGAAUGUGCUCUUUGAAGGUUAAGCAGCUGAGAAGAGUCAUCUUGCACAAACGAAC